UUGUACGCUGGCGGCAGGCCUACCACAUGCAAGUCGAGCGGAUGAAGGGAGCUUGCUCCUGGAUUCAGCGGCGGACGGGUGAGUAAUGCCUAGGAAUCUGCCUGGUAGUGGGGGAUAACGUCCGGAAACGGGCGCUAAUACCGCAUACGUCCUGAGGGAGAAAGUGGGGGAUCUUCGGACCUCACGCUAUCAGAUGAGCCUAGGUCGGAUUAGCUAGUUGGUGGGGUAAAGGCCUACCAAGGCGACGAUCCGUAACUGGUCUGAGAGGAUGAUCAGUCACACUGGAACUGAGACACGGUCCAGACUCCUACGGGAGGCAGCAGUGGGGAAUAUUGGACAAUGGGCGAAAGCCUGAUCCAGCCAUGCCGCGUGUGUGAAGAAGGUCUUCGGAUUGUAAAGCACUUUAAGUUGGGAGGAAGGGCAGUAAGUUAAUACCUUGCUGUUUUGACGUUACCAACAGAAUAAGCACCGGCUAACUUCGUGCCAAC
rnacentral:rRNA from 1 species